rnacentral:rRNA from 1 species
AUUGAACGCUGGCGGAAUGCUUUACACAUGCAAGUUGAACGGUAGAGGGGGCAACCCCUCGAGAGUGGCGAACGGGUGAGUAAUAUAUCGGAACGUGCCCAGUCGUGGGGGAUAACGUAGCGAAAGUUACGCUAAUACCGCAUACGAUCUAAGGAUGAAAGCGGGGGAUCGCAAGACCUCGCGCGAUUGGAGCGGCCGAUAUCAGAUUAGGUAGUUGGUGGGGUAAAGGCUCACCAAGCCAACGAUCUGUAGCUGGUCUGAGAGGACGACCAGCCACACUGGAACUGAGACACGGUCCAGACUCCUACGGGAGGCAGCAGUGGGGAAUUUUGGACAAUGGACGCAAGUCUGAUCCAGCCAUUCCGCGUGCAGGAUGAAGGCCCUCGGGUUGUAAACUGCUUUUGUACGGAACGAAAAGGUCUCUCUUAAUACGGGGGGCUCAUGACGGUACCGUAAGAAUAAGCACCGGCUAACUACGUGCCAGCCGCCACUGUAA